CUCAACAAUAAGCUGUCACAUGUUUACAAUGACCCUCAUGCGUACGAUCCAGAUCGGUUUGGUCCUGGAAGAGAGGAGGACAGAGUUGGCGGCAAGUACUCUUUCACAACAUUUGGUGGUGGAAGGCAUGUUUGUUCUGGCAUGGCCUUGGCUUACCUGCAAAUUAAGGUCAUAUGGAGCCAUCUAUUAAGAAACUUUGAGUUCAAGUUAAUAUCUCCAUUCCCUAAGGUGGAUGUGAGCAAGGUGGGUCAAGAGCCUAAAGGAAAAGUAAUGAUAAGUUAUAACAGACGCCAGCUACAGUGCUACUAG
rnacentral:rRNA from 1 species